rnacentral:lncRNA from 1 species
AUGGAACCAAAAAGUCAGUCACAACAGAAAGGAAGGAAGAAAAGGACCCAGAAUUCAUCAUUUCAUUUCAUCAAUUCAGAAAGUAAAAUCAAAAUUGAUGGACAAUUUUGUCCAUCCAAUUGUGCGAGGUGGCACAGUGGACAGAUUGCCAACCACUCCAAUAUCUUUGUCAAGAAAAGUCUAUAUGGAACCAUAAAGAAUCAGGCACAACAGAUACGAAGGAACAGACAAAAGAAACCAGAAUUCAUCUUUUAAUUGCGGAUAAGAAAGUAAGAUCAAAAUAGAUGGGCAGUGAGGUAUCGAAGUGGGCAUAUUACCAAUCACUCCAAUAUCUUUGUCAAGAAAAUUCUACAUGGAAUCACAGUCAGAUACAACGAAUAUGACGGAAGAACCAAAAGAAACCAGAAUUCAUCAUUUCAUUUCAUCAGAUACAAAAGUAAGUCUACAAAGGCUAAUUCAAUAAGAUAUUUCAUUAAUUGGUCGAAAGAGCUUCUGAUGUGGUCUAGGUUUACUGCCUUAGUGUGACUUUAUGAAAAACAUUGAACCUCAUGAGAAGUCAGUUUUAUUGUCUGUUAAAUGAGAAAGUUUGACUAGAAGGCUUCUAAUUUCAGUGGGAUAAUUUUUGUCUUAAGCAUUUACUAUGUAUUAGUCAUGCAGCAAGUCAAUCAGCAUUUAUUAAGGACACUUGCCUUAAGGACCUCAUAUUUUUCUGGGGGAGAUAAUAUGGAAACCUUUGUGUAUUGGGCAGCUAGUUGUCAGGGUGACAGAAAACUGGGAUUAGAAUCAGGAAGAUUCUUCUUUAUGAGUGGAAAUCUCCCUAGACACUAUCUGUGUGACCCACAGUAAGUCACUUUAACUACAUUUACCUCAUUUCCUCCAGUUAAAUGAGCUAAUACAGGAAAUGGCAAACCACUCUAGUAUUUCUGCUGUGAAACACUAAAUGGAGAUACUUAGAGUCAGACAUGAUUGAACAACAAUGACAAGAACAAGAUAGAGAGUUUUGUUUGGGACAUGGUGAGUUUGAGUUGAUAUCUUGAGGACGCAAAAUUUAAUAUGUUUAAUAGGCGGUUGGUGAUGAUGGCCUAGAGGUCAGAAGAGAAGUUAAGGCUAGACAAAUAGAUCCCAAAAUCAUCUGCAUAGUAAUAAUGAUUGAACCUAUAGGGGCUGAUAAGUUUAACUAUACAAAAGAGUAUAGAGGGAGGAGAUAAGUUGACCUGGGACUCUAGAGCACUGUAAGACAUCUUUGGCUUACUGGUGUGACCUGGAUGAAGAUCCAACAAGAGAGGAGAGGUCAGAUGCAUUAAGAGAUGAUGGAAUAUCAACCACGAGGACCAGUAAAGUCCCUUUUAUAUCUUAAGUCCUUUCAACCACUUUAGAAACUAGCCUUCAGUUCCAUUCAACUGGCAUUAAUUUACCAGAAGACCUGAAUUAGGUCUUAGUGGAUAUGACUUCAAUAGGAUAGAGUUAACAUUGUAUAAAGGUUUGUAGUCUAUAGUCUUGUAAGGGAAGCAAAAUGUAUUUGGAUCACUCUAACAUGAAGAAACAGUGAUAAAUAAAGAGAUGAGCCAGAACCUGCUAUGAGAAUUU